GCGUUGUUCGGAUUCAUUGGGCGUAAAGGGUGCGUAGGCGGCGCGGUAAGUCGGGUGUGAAAUCUCGGAGCUUAACUCCGAAACUGCAUUCGAUACUGCCGUGCUUGAGGACUGGAGAGGAGACUGGAAUUCAUGGUGUAGCAGUGAAAUGCGUAGAGAUCAUGAGGAAGACCAGUGGCGAAGGCGGGUCUCUGGACAGUUCCUGACACUGAGGCACGAAGGCCAGGGGAGCAAACGGG
rnacentral:rRNA from 1 species